UAUAGCUUGCUAUAAUUGUCAGCUAAGUGGCGCACGGGUGAGUAAUGUAUAGAUAACCUGCCCUUAAGAAAGGAAUAACAGUUGGAAACGACUGCUAAUGCCCUAUAUGCCUUUAAUACAUAAGUAUGCAAGGGAAACGCUUUAGUGCUUAAGGAUGGGUCUGUAUGGUAUCAGCUUGUUGGUGAGGUAAUGGCUCACCAAGGCUAUGACGCCUAACUGGUUUGAGAGGAUGAUCAGUCACACUGGAACUGAGACACGGUCCAGACUCCUACGGGAGGCAGCAGUGGGGAAUAUUGCACAAUGGACGAAAGUCUGAUGCAGCAACGCCGCGUGGAGGAUGACACAUUUCGGUGCGUAAACUCCUUUUAUAUAGGAAGAUAAUGACGGUACUAUAUGAAUAAGCACCGGCUAACUCCGUGCCA
rnacentral:rRNA from 1 species